rnacentral:lncRNA from 1 species
AAUAGCUGUUUUUGAGACCAAUCAUGAGUUUGAUUAGAUAACCUUUCAAACCUGGUUUGGUACUCUUGAAUGGUAGAGGUUUGUCGGAUCUUUUCUAGUUAUCCGUCAAUAUUCUCGUAAUCGGUUGGUCUGAAGCGGAUCAGUAGUCCUUCUUUGAAUUGUCGCCAUGAAAGGACUCCAUAAGUAUGUUCAAACCAGUCAAA